GACGAACGCUGGCGGCGUGCUUAACACAUGCAAGUCGAACGAAGAGCGAUGGAAGCUUGCUUCUAUCAAUCUUAGUGGCGAACGGGUGAGUAACGCGUAAUCAACCUGCCCUUCAGAGGGGGACAACAGUUGGAAACGACUGCUAAUACCGCAUACGAUCUAAUCUCGGCAUCGAGGAUGGAUGAAAGGUGGCCUCUACAUGUAAGCUAUCACUGAAGGAGGGGAUUGCGUCUGAUUAGCUAGUUGGAGGGGUAACGGCCCACCAAGGCGAUGAUCAGUAGCCGGUCUGAGAGGAUGAACGGCCACAUUGGGACUGAGACACGGCCCAGACUCCUACGGGAGGCAGCAGUGGGGAAUCUUCCGCAAUGGACGAAAGUCUGACGGAGCAACGCCGAGUGAGUGAUGACGGCCGUCGGGUUGUAGAGCUCGGUUAAUCGGGACGAAAGGCCUUCUUGCGAAUAGUGAGAAGGAUUGACGGUACCGGAAUAGAAAGCCACGGCUAACUACGUG
rnacentral:rRNA from 1 species